rnacentral:rRNA from 1 species
AUUGAACGCUGGCGGCAGGCCUAACACAUGCAAGUCGAGCGGAGCGGCGGACGGGUGAGUAAUGCCUAGGAAUCUGCCCAGUAGCGGGGGAUAACUACGCGAAAGCGUCGCUAAUACCGCAUACUAUUGGAGCGGCCGAUAUCGGAUUAGCUAGUUGGUGGGGUAACGGCUCACCAAGGCGACGAUCCGUAGCUGGUUUGAGAGGACGACCAGCCACACUGGGACUGAGACACGGCCCAGACUCCUACGGGAGGCAGCAGUGGGGAAUUUUGGACAAUGGGGGAAACCCGGAUCCAGCCAUCCCGCGUGUGCGAUGAAGGCCUUCGGGUUGUAAAGCACUUUUGGCAGGAAAGCGGUACCUGCAGAAUAAGCACCGGCUAACUACGUGCCAGCCGCCGCGGUAAUAC